UUGACCUCGAAUCAGGUAGGAAUACCCGCUGAACUUAAGCAUAUCAAUAAGCGGAGGAAAAGAAACCAACAGGGAUUGCCCCAGUAACGGCGAGUGAAGCGGCAACAGCUCAAAUUUGAAAUCUGGCUCUCGGGCCCGAGUUGUAAUUUGUAGAGGAUGCUUUUGGUGAGGUGCCUUCCGAGUUCCCUGGAACGGGACGCCAUAGAGGGUGAGAGCCCCGUCUGGUUGGACACCGAUCCUCUGUAAAGCUCCUUCGACGAGUCGAGUAGUUUGGGAAUGCUGCUCUAAAUGGGAGGUAUAUGUCUUCUAAAGCUAAAUACCGGCCAGAGACCGAUAGCGCACAAGUAGAGUGAUCGAAAGAUGAAAAGAACUUUGAAAAGAGAGUUAAAAAGUACGUGAAAUUGUUGAAAGGGAAGCGCUUGUGACCAGACUUGGGCUUGGUUGAUCAUCCGGGGUUCUCCCCGGUGCACUCUUCCGGCUCAGGCCAGCAUCAGUUCGCCCUGGGGGAUAAAGGCUUCGGGAAUGUGGCUCUCUCCGGGGAGUGUUAUAGCCCGCUGCGUAAUACCCUGUGGCGGACUGAGGUUCGCGCAUUCGCAAGGGAUGCU
rnacentral:rRNA from 1 species